rnacentral:rRNA from 1 species
UACAGAGGUCUCAAGCGUUGUUCGGAAUCACUGGGCGUAAAGCGUGCGUAGGCUGUUUCGUAAGUCGUGUGUGAAAGGCGCGGGCUCAACCCGCGGACGGCACAUGAUACUGCGAGACUAGAGUAAUGGAGGGGGAACCGGAAUUCUCGGUGUAGCGGUGAAAUGCGUAGAUAUCGAGAGGAACACUCGUGGCGAAGGCGGGUUCCUGGACAUUAACUGACGCUGAGGCACGAAGGCCAGGGGAGCGAAAGGG